CUGUCUGGCACUGGUCUGGUCUUGGUCUUGUCUCUGUCUCAGUACACUCUGGUUUUGGUGAUGACUUUGUCUUGGUUUAGGAGGUCUUGACUACAACAUAUUUAUAAUAUUG